UAUUGGUCAAUGGACGAGAGUCUGAACCAGCCAAGUAGCGUGAAGGAUGACUGCCCUAUGGGUUGUAAACUUCUUUUAUAAAGGAAUAAAACGAGGCACGUGUGCCUUUUUGCAUGUACUUUAUGAAUAAGGAUCGGCUAACUCCGUGCCAGCAGCCGCGGUAAUACGGAGGAUCCGAGCGUUAUCCGGAUUUAUUGGGUUUAAAGGGAGCGUAGAUGGGUUGUUAAGUCAGUUGUGAAAGUUUGCGGCUCAACCGUAAAAUUGCAAUUGAUACUGGCAGUCUUGAGUACAGUUGAGGUAGGCGGAAUUCGUGGUGUAGCGGUGAAAUGCUUAGAUAUCACGAAGAACCCCGAUUGCGAAGGCAGCUUACUAAACUGUGACUGACAUUGAUGCUCGAAAGUGUGGGUAUCAAACAGG
rnacentral:rRNA from 1 species